GCCAGACUCCUACGGGAGGCAGCAGUGAGGAAUAUUGCACAAUGGGGGGAACCCUGAUGCAGCGACGCCGCGUGGGUGAAGGAGCACCUCGGUGCGUAAAGCCCUGUCAGCAGGGAAGAAAAUGACGGUACCUGAAGAAGAAGCCCCGGCUAACUACGUGCCAGCAGCCGCGGUAAUACGUAGGGGGCAAGCGUUAUCCGGAUUUACUGGGUGUAAAGGGAGCGUAGACGGCGGCGCAAGCCAGAUGUGAAAGCCCGGGGCCCAACCCCGGGACUGCUCUGGAAACUGCGUCGCUGGAGUACGGGAGGGGCAGGCGGAAUUCCUGGUGUAGCGGUGAAAUGCGUAGAUAUCAGGAGGAACACCGGCGGCGAAGGCGGCCUGCUGGACCGUGACUGACGUUGAGGCUCGAGAGCGUGGGGAGCAAACAGGAUUAGAUACCCCCGUAC
rnacentral:rRNA from 1 species